AGCUAAGUAGUCCAAUGGAUAGAAUGCUGGUCUUGGGAGUCAGAAAAAGAGGUUCAAAUCCUUCCUCAGAUA
rnacentral:tRNA from 1 species